GACGAACGCUGGCGGCGUGCCUAAUACAUGCAAGUAGAACGCUGAAGGAGGAGCUUGCUUCUCUGGAUGAGUUGCGAACGGGUGAGUAACGCGUAGGUAACCUGCCUGGUAGCGGGGGAUAACUAUUGGAAACGAUAGCUAAUACCGCAUAAUAGCAGUUAUUGCAUGAUAACUGUUUGAAAGGUGCAAUUGCACCACUACCAGAUGGACCUGCGUUGUAUUAGCUUGUUGGUGGGGUAACGGCUCACCAAGGCGACGAUACAUAGCCGACCUGGGAGGGGGGUCGGCCACACUGGGACUGGGACACGGCCCAGGCUCCUACGGGGGGCAGCAGUAGGGGAUCUUCGGCAAUGGGCGGAAGUCUGACCGAGGCACGCCGCGGGAGUGGAGGAAGUUUUCGGGUCGGAAAGCUCUGUUGUAAGGGAAGAACGAGUGUGAGAGUGGAAAGUUCACACUGUGACGGUAUCUUACCAGAAAGGGACGGCUAACUACGUG
rnacentral:rRNA from 1 species